rnacentral:rRNA from 1 species
CCACACCAAAAAAACUAUCCACGUGAAUGUAUUCUUUAUAAGGCUUGUGCUGUGUUUGAUAUAAUGUCAUUCAUGGCUAGCAGAAGGUUUCAAUUAUUGAGACCGAUGUAUUUUUUAAAUCCUUUUAUUUCAAUUACUGAUAAUACUAGCAAUCAGAAAUGAUAGCUUUUAAUUCUAUACAACUUUCAACAGUGGAUGUCUCGGCUCGUAAAUCGAUGAAGAGCGCAGCGAACUGCGAUACGUAAUGCGAAUUGCAGAAUUCAGUGAGUCAUCGAAAUCUUGAACGCAUAUUGCACUUUCGGGUUAGUCCUGGAAGUAUGUCUGUAUCAGUGUCCGUAAAAACACAAUUGUUUUAUUCUUUUGAUAGAACAGAAUAUGAAGGUCUUGUUAUUAGCAAGUCCUUUGAAAAGAAAGUCCCUAUAUAGUAGAAAAUAUAUUAUAUAAAGGACAUUUGAUUUCUUAUUUCAAAUAUUUUGUGUGUAUAUACAUGAGAAUUGAAAGAAGAAUAAAUUGCGGUAGUUUUACUUGUGUUUCGGCACGGGUGAACAUUAUAUUGCUUUUUAUGAUUCUGGAGAUGAUUAUGAAUAGAAAACAAGGUAUGAAAUAAGUAUAAUGAAAUGUUUGGUAUAUUGGAAACUAUAUGGAAGUAAAUUGGGAAAUUAAAUCCAAUUUGGACCUGAUAUCAGACAAGAUUACCCGCUGAAUUUAAG